rnacentral:rRNA from 1 species
UGCAGCCAUAUCACCCUGCAGCCCAAGACUGGUUGCCCACUGAAGCUAAGCAGGGUUGAGCCUGGUCAGUACCUGGAUAGGAGACCUCCUGGGAAGAGUAGGGGUGUAA